UGCACCGCAGAGGACUUCAUGAAGAAUAGCAUCACUCUCAUCUAAACCACUUGUUCACGAUGACUACACACAAACCACUUUGUGAAGCCAAAACAACACCUAAAGAGAAGCAACACCCGAUACAAAUUAAACUCCCUACUCAAUGUACCCUUUAUCUGGACGCUUCAAAGUCUUAAUCUCUUAUACUGCUUCAACACACAAAAGCCAUCAAAGAUAAACAAAAACCAAAACGACUACGAAAAUAACCUUAUUCAAGGGACGGAAAAAGACCCUUAGCAACAACAAGAUGGAGAGGUGUCCUGAAAUCAGCUUCUUCUCGAUGACAAUACCAACCAACUGUUCAUCCCAUGCCGCUGCUUCACGGUUGUUGAAUCAAAGACCAACUAAGAAAAACUCUACAAGAUGACCAAAACAGAAACUGAACGAAGAGGGACAUAAGGUUAAAACCUGGUAGAAUCCACCAUGAUAAAUCAACGACGAACGUCAACCAGCAAGUUCAGAACCACUAGAACAACAAUUCACGAACUCUUCAAUCCGGAAUCUUUCAUUUUUUCAGAUCCGAAGCUAUCGAGAAAACUUACCACACAAACUACAAUAGAAGAAGAAAAUACUCGGACUGGAUCGACGGUACACACGCCGACCAAAAGAGAAGCAACGUCGACUGCUGUAAGUUGAGGC
rnacentral:lncRNA from 1 species